AUUGAACGCUGGCGGCAGGCCUAACACAUGCAAGUCGAGCGAGCGGCGGAAGGGUGAGUUAUGUCUGGGAAACUGCCUGCUGGAGGGGGAUAACGACUGGAAACGGUAGCUAAUACCGCAUACCAUAUGAUGUGCCCAGAUGGGAUUAGCUAGGAGGGGGGGUAACGGCUCACCUAGGCGACGAUCCCUCGCUGGUCGGAGAGGAGGACCAGCCACACUGGAGCGGUAACACGGGCCAGGCUCCUGCGGGAGGCAGCAGGGGGGAAUAGGGCACAAUGGGCGCAAACCUGAUGCAGCCAUGCCGCGUGUGUGAAAGAGGUCUUCGGAGUGUGAAGCACUUUAAGUGGGGAGGCGGUAGCAGCAGAAUAAGCACCGGCUAACUUCGUGCCAGCAGCCGCGGUAAUAC
rnacentral:rRNA from 1 species